UGUGCCCUCCCCGGGAACGUGGGAUGCGUCCUUAUAGCAGCUGGCUAUGGGGUGCUGCGCAUCCUCUGUGGGUAGGGAGGACGUGGAUGCGUGGGUCAGGUGAGGAGGGACCCUCUGUAAGUGGGGUGUGCUCCUACAGGUGCUGUGAUGCUCGGGCUGUCCUCUGGGUUUGGUAUGCAGGGCCAGAGCUCCCCGUUCCUGUGUCACCCACCAUGAGGGCCAGCAGGAUGCGUGCUGUUCUUCUUGCACAGCUCAGGCUGGGUGGGAUGGUCACACCGUGUUCAAUCUGUGUCUCAGUGUGGUGGCUGUAGUUCUCCACCUGCUUCUUUAGGCUCUGCUGAUGAGGUCAGGGAUGAGCAGUGAAGAUGACUCACAGGAUGCUGGGCAGUGGCUGGAGCCGUUGUCUGAUGCUGCAGAGAAAAAAGUCCUCAGUACCAAUAUGGGGCUGGAAUGCCUGUAAAGCUCAGUGAAGGUGGAGUCCUGGAAAGUCCCUGCUCUUCCCAAAGCUGCUGCGGAGCCUAGCUCUGAGCAGGAGCGAUUCAUGCUUCCCCUGGCUCCUUUCUCUUCUGCUCCGGGGAUGAGUCAGUGUGGCCUGGUGACACAGGCAGGACCCCAGCAGGACACCGAACGGGCAGUGGAAAUCCUGACGAGAUACCAAAGCACCCUGUGCUCCCCAGAGGAACAGGAGCUGAAAGCCUCCAUUGGAAAGAUCUCACACAUCUUCCAAAGUGAACUAUUCCAGGCUCUGCUGGAUAUCCACGAAUUCUACGACUUCACACUGCGCUCAGCACCCCUGCAGCCUCCCAGCCCAGCAGUGCAUCGUGGCACAGCCCAGCACCUCAGCCCCCGAGAGCCCCACGGCCCCCCCGAGCCACCAGCCCAGGAUGGUGAGCGAAGGCUUCUCGCGGUGACACCGGGGACUCCCCCAAGGCUGGUGAGGGUGACAGCACGCCGGACGGAAGCACCGACCAGUGUCUGCAGCCUGGUGCUGGGCUCCCGCAGUGCCCUGCCGCAGGGAAGUUUUGUGCCUUUUUGCUGCUGUAGGAGUGUGGGACUGCUUUGGUGCAGGAGUGUGGCAAUAGAGCCGCUAUCCCAGUUCUCUGCUGUCACCCAUCCAUGAGCCUCCCACAACAGCCAGACCCUGGGACCUGAGCUGCCGUGUCCCAGCCUGCAGGUGGGGAGAGUCACCUGUCACCCCGGCUUAUGCCAGGACUUCGUGUGAGAGGAGGGAAGUGACGGCAGGGGCUGAGAUGCCGACAGCUCCCACUAAAGCCGCGCCACCUUCGGGCCGUGUAAAUAGCACCGUCUCUGGGAUUUCUUGAUGCUUUGCUGAAAUUAGCACCUGAAAAAAAGAGCAGCUGCCAAAGCCACAUUUAAAUAAGACAGGCAGACUUUGGGAGGAAGAGGAGAGCGGAUUGGAGAGUGCUUGGGUUCCUUGAAGUGCAUCUGGCCCCGCACUGAUCUCCUCGUGAGCCUGGUAACACAUCCUGAGCCCCACACGGUGCUUCAGGGAGCAGAGCAGGCAGCAAGCAGGAUUAUAAUCCUCUUGGUUGGGCUGGCAGAUGACACGUGUGGCUCACUGUAAAUGAGGAGGAAUGAAACAACCCUCGCACCAAGGACAGAGCAGAGCUAAAGCAGGAAAUGCAGGCAGGGAGCUGCAAGACGGGGAGGACUCCGUGAGGCUCAAGGGAAGUAUGGGGCCUCUGUCUGUAUGUGGCAAUGGGAUACCUAUAGAUAAGUGAGAUGGGGGAGGAAGCAGGAGAUGCAGGCAUGGACUUGCCAGGGGAAAAACAGAGCCAAUGCUUCUCUUAAUUGUUUAUUUCAUUUCUUAUUAAAGCAUUUUUCCCUACCAGGUCUCGUC